rnacentral:rRNA from 1 species
UGAGGAAUAUUGGUCAAUGGGCGGGAGCCUGAACCAGCCAAGUCGCGUGAGGGAAGACGGUCCUACGGAUUGUAAACCUCUUUUGCCGGGGAGCAACGGAGUCCUUGCGAGGGCCCGAUGAGAGUACCCGGAGAAAAAGCAUCGGCUAACUCCGUGCC